rnacentral:rRNA from 1 species
UACGAAGGGUGCAAGCGUUGCUCGGGAUUAUUGGGCGUAAAGCGCACGUAGGCGGCUUGGCAAGUCGGAUGUGAAAUCCCUCGGCUCAACCAAGGAAGUGCAUCCGAAACUGCUGAGCUUGAGUACUUAAGAGGAUCGCGGAAUUCCCGGUGUAGAGGUGAAAUUCGUAGAUAUCGGGAGGAACACCAGUGGCGAAGGCGGCGAUCUGGGAAGAUACUGACGCUGAGGUGCGAAAGCGUGGGGAGCAAACAGG